AAAACUAUUAUUCAAUAGUUCUCAUUCUAAUAUUGUUGUUGUUUUUAUUUUCAAAGUCAUCCACAGCGGGAGAGGUUAGGAACCGCAACAAGGGAGUUGUGUCUAGCUAGAGCUAGCUUGGAGUCUCCGUUAGGUGGUUGCUUUUGUUUUGGUUUAGCUGGAGGGGUGUUUCUAUCCAUAUUGUGUAGAAACCACCAUGUGUAUUUAGUUUUAUAUUUUGGCUAUCUGGAUGUAUAUUCUUAUGGCGAUAGGUGAUGUUAUAGUUGAUGUUUAGAUUAUCUUACUUUCUUUAUACUUACUAUUAGAGAGUACUAACUUGAUACAUUUUAAACCAUAUGGUACUAAAGUAAAAAAGUAUGAAACCAUAGGGG
rnacentral:lncRNA from 1 species